AACGAACGCUGGCGGCAGGCCUAACACAUGCAAGUCGAGCGAGGACUUCGGUUCUAGCGGCGGACGGGUGAGUAACGCGUGGGAAUGUGCCCUUCUCUACGGAAUAGCCCUGGGAAACUGGGAGUAAUACCGUAUACGCCCUAUUGGGGAAAGAUUUAUCGGAGAAGGAUCAGCCCGCGUUGGAUUAGGUAGUUGGUGGGGUAAUGGCCUACCAAGCCGACGAUCCAUAGCUGGUUUGAGAGGAUGAUCAGCCACACUGGGACUGAGACACGGCCCAGACUCCUACGGGAGGCAGCAGUGGGGAAUCUUAGACAAUGGGGGCAACCCUGAUCUAGCCAUGCCGCGUGAGUGAUGAAGGCCUUAGGGUUGUAAAGCUCUUUCAGCUGGGAAGAUAAUGACGGUACCAGCAGAAGAAGCCCCGGCUAACCCCGU
rnacentral:rRNA from 1 species